GUGCCAGCCGCCGCGGUAAUACAGAGGGUGCAAGCGUUGUUCGGAAUUAUUGGGCGUAAAGCGCGUGUAGGCGGCUUGUUAAGUCGGGUGUGAAAGCCCUCAGCUCAACUGAGGAAGGGCGCCCGAAACUGGCGAGCUUGAGUGUCGGAGAGGAUGGCGGAAUACCCCAAGUAGAGGUGAAAUUCGUAGAUAUGGGGUGGAACACCGGUGGCGAAGGCGGCCAUCUGGACGACAACUGACGCUGAGACGCGAAAGCGUGGGGAGCAAACAGGAUUAGAUACCCCCGUAGUCC
rnacentral:rRNA from 1 species